CAAUACUGUAUAUAAGCCUCUAUAGUGUCACAAAUUUCAAGGACUGUUUUUAGUUCAUAAAUUUAGUGAUAACUAAUCUUGCCGCGAGGGCGACUUGCCUUCAUCUUCAUUUCACUAAGUUUUGUUUUUGCUGAAUACCGGAUAUACGCUUUCAUCAUAAUGUUAAAGUCAUCGAUGCUUCUACUGGCUCUGGUGACUCUAUUGUGGCGGGUUAACUGUGGGCCCGUGGAUCAGAGGACGGCUGACGUGGGGACGGGUGGGAGAAUAAAAGAUUGGAUUUCCCAGCUGAAGUCCUUGUUACAUGACAGUCUCAAAGUUCUAGAUUCAUAUCCGGAUAACUAUAAAAACAGCACAAUAACAAACAAGAACGUUAAUGGGACCGUGAUCCAAACCAAUACAACGAUAACAAAGAAUACGAAAAACAACCAAACAUUAUUCCACUAUUCAGAGCGGAGGAAAGUUAUGCAAGAGAGCCUGAGUGGACAUUAAUGGCCUUUUUUCGGGAGCACACGUCAGCAAGCGGAGAACUACGAUGGGGAUUAGUCCAGUAGGCCCUUCGCGAACCCCUGUUAUCUCCCCUGUGCUAGCAACAUACAUGUCAAUCGUGACUAGGACGGAGAAAGGUGGAGACAGCCUUAUCAAGGCGUAUUUACCAUAGCUGCGCCCCCCCCCCCCCCCACCUCCCGAAAUAAUGACAAAUGACAUCGGCUUAGAGGUUUGAAUAAAAAUGCUUAACUGACUAAGAACAACGUGCAGUAGUUUAUCUUGGAUUUAUCCGGGACUGAUUAACACAGACAGAAAUUGGUGUCUUGCGGGAAUACUAUAUAUAAAUGCUGUAUAGAACUGACAAGGGGCUGAAACCAACACCAAAUAGAUCUAUACCAUCCACAACACAUCGGAGACUGCACACAGACCACCACUGAAUAAUCAAGGCCCAAACACAAGAAAAAAAAUUAGAAUUUGGGAGACUUUGUAUCAAUUGUUGUCUACAACUGCUUUCAGACAAGGACAUUUCGCACAUACGAAGUCUUAAAGACAAAGAAGUAUAUAUAAGAUAAAAGACCAUUUAACAAUGAACUGAAAAACAGCUCGUUUUACUUAUUAUUCAGAAUCAAUUUUUCUUUUAGAAUUUCUCCUACCGAGUAAAAUUGUUAUGAAACAUCAGUUUCAAGGGUGAUCGGUAGUGAACAAAUGGAUAUCAGUGACGUGAUAUAUCCACGUUUUGCUUAAAAUAGUUCGAU